rnacentral:sRNA from 2 species
GGCAAGGCAACUAAGCCUGCAUUAAUGCCAACUUUUAGCGCACGGCUCUCUCCCAAGAGCCAUUUCCCUGGACCGAAUACAGGAAUCGUGUUCGGUCUCUUUUU